CACACCUUUUAAUCCAAGGGUUAAGAUUAGAUUUACUUGACGAAGACGACGGACGCUACCGAAGCUUUGUGUCGGUUACUUGGUGAAGCAUCUGCGUCCGUUAAUGGAGUCGUGACCCCUGGUUUGCAUCUCUUCCUUUGUUUAUAUUUGAUAACCAGUUUGCCCUUGCUCUUUUUUUCAAUAUUGUUCCGGGACUCCUGAUUCAAUUUUUUGAUUAUACACCAAAUUUUAUCUCCCGAUCAUCAACCGUUCAUGAAUCCUCGAUCAUUGAAUCUUUGUUUGUAAAGAGAGAUACAUUCAGCUUACUGUAUCUAAGUUGCUACUCAAAGCAAGUGUGUCUUAGGGAGCCACAAAAAAGCUAAAAAGAACUCACUAAGACAAACAAAGUUUCAAUCCCAGCCAUAUGGAUGUGAUUAAAGCUUGACUAACAUUAUGGUUCAAUUGACAACCUUUAAGUUAACAGCAGACCACAGCGAAUAGAUUGAUGUCGGGACCUGCAUCAAAACCGCACGAGGCCAAAGAGGACACAGCCGGAGAACAGUGAGGGACCGCAAUGUUAGGUACAGCAGACUCACUUCGAUCUUUUUGUAUGGUUGAUGGUUCUUCCAUACAAGUUCAAAAUGAGGCCGAGGGGUCUUUAAGAGGGCAAAAAGACUUGCUAAAAUGUAGUUGGGAACACACCUAUCGUGCAUGCGUUUUAAGUGUGGAAGAUUGUACUCGAAGAAGUGGAGCAACGGGAACGGCAAUAUGCGUUAAAAAUUUGAUAGUUAUAAUGUUCAAAUCAUUGAAAUACAAUAAAAACAUAAUCUCUUCGUAAUAACGUACCAUGUAUCAAUGUAUAUUUUUUAUUUUUAGUUUUGAAUGGUUAAAGAUUCAUUUUAAUUCU